ensembl:snRNA U6 U6 spliceosomal RNA
GUGCUUGCUUCGGCAGCACACAUACUAAAAUUGGAACAAUACAGAGAUUAGCAUGGCCCCUGUGCAAAGAUGACACGCAAAUUCGUGAAGCAUUCCAUACGUGU